rnacentral:rRNA from 1 species
AGCUCGUAGUUGGAUUUGGGUCGACCGGGCCGCCGGGCCGCCGCCCCCGUGCGGCGAGUUCCCGUGCGUCCCCGGGACCGCACGUUCACCCCCGCGGUGCUCUUGACUGAGUGUCCGCGGUAGCGGGUGACCGAACGUUUACCUUGACAAAACCGGAGUGCUCGAGGCGUGGGCGUUCGCCGCCCGUACGUCCUCGCUGGGAAUAAUGGAAGAGGACCGUUGGUCAAAAAAGGUUUUUCGUCAGAGAGGUUGGAGAGCAAAAAGGAGGUUGUGCUGGCGGGGGGUUUACAAAGGGGGGCAACUCCCUUUCCCCCUCUGGUCUUCCUCCUUCUCCUCCUCGAAACCUUCCUCCCCGCGUACCGCACUGGGGAUCGGCUGGCGCUUUUCGGCGGAAAGGGCGGUUUGAGACAGAAGGGUGAAAGCAGGUGGCUGUUUGCCGGAUGGCGAAAGCUGGACGGCCGGUCGUUUGUGGAAACCUGGAAUCUUAUUCCCCCUCACUGUCGUGGUGCUUCCGUGCYCUCGGUGUCAGCGGGAGGAGGUCGAAAAUCAAAAUAAAUAUAACGUGUCAUGAUUAAGAGGGACGGCCGGGGGCAUUCGUACCGCGGCGCGAGAGGUGAAAUUCUAGGACCGUCGCGAGACGAACGAUAGCGAAAGCAUUUGCCAAGAAUGUUUUCCUUAAUCAAGAACGAAAGUCGGAGGUUCGAAGGCGAUCAGAUACCGCCCUAGUUCCGACCUUAAACCAUGCCGUCCGACCGCCCGCCAGGGUUACUACCGCGACUCGGCGGGCGGUGACUUUCCACCGGGAAACCCUUAAGCUUUCGGGUUCCGGGGGAAGUACGGUCGCAAAGCUGAAACUUAAAGGAAUUGACGGAAGGGCACCACCAGGAGUGGAGCCUGCGGCUUAAUUUGACUCAACACGGGGAACCUCACCCGGCCCGGACACCGCGAGGAUUGACAGAUCGAUAGCUCUUUCUCGAUCCGGUGGGUGGUGGUGCAUGGCCGUUCUUAGUUGGUGGAGCGAUCUGUCUGGUUAAUUCCGAUAACGAACGAGACUCUAGCCGGUUAAGUAGCCCGAGUGGCGUGUUGUUGAUUUAAAAACCGCCCUAGCGGCUUUCGGGGUGCUUCGCGGAAGCUGUCUGGCUUUAACGGCGAUGGGACGGGGAGGUGGAAGACGACGGUUUUAGCCGCGUGCGUCGCGGCUGGGAUCUAGUUUUUUUAACCUCUCCUCAAUCCUGUCUCGUUUCGGCCUUUCACUUUUGUGGGCCUCUGUUUGCUUACCUGGGGUAGAUAAAACGCUAACGAGAGUCGGGGGCAGUGGACGUUACUCGUGGAAUGGGUGGGCGCUCCUUAGUGGUGCGUCCCUCUUCCCGGUUUCGCUUUUCUGCUUUCCUCGUCGUCUCGCGCCACCGGCUUUCGAGUGCAAAAGCUUCUUAGAGGGACGAGCGGCGUUCAGCCGCGCGAGAUUGAGCGAUAACAGGUCUGUGAUGCCCUUAGAUGUCCGGGGCCGCACGCGCGCUACACUGAAGGGGUCAACGCGCCAUUACGUUUCCCGGGCCGAAAGGCUCGGGGAACCGGUGGAACCCCGACGUAGCGUUCGUGCUAGGGACAGGGACUUGCAAUUGUGUCCCUCGAACGAGGAAUUCCCAGUAGGCGCGAGUCAUCAGCUCGCGCCGAUUACGUCCCUGCCCUUUGUACACACCGCCCGUCGCUACUACCGAUCGAACGAUUUAGCGAGGUCUUCGGACCGGCGGCCGAAGGUGCGCGAGCGCCGGCGGCU